UCAUCAUUCAGAUUUGAAUAGGAGGGUAGUUGAUACUUGAGUAGAUUUUAAAGUCGAUCUUCUUUUUGGUGAGUUUGAUCUUCUUUAAAUUUUUUGUGCUUAUUUUCAACUUAAUUUUGAAGAAGUGUAAAAAUUUUGAAUUAAAAUCAAUGGUUCAUUCAUUAAUUAUUGAGAUUUAAAUCUGUUAUAGAUAUUACUUGGGAUUAAUUAAGGUUUAGUUUGGAUUUGGUUAAGAUUUAGGAUUUAGUUUAGAAUUAAGAUUACAAUUUUGGUUUGAUUUAAGGUUUGGUUAGGAUUAGGAUUUGGUUAGGAUUUAGGAUUUGAUUUAGGAUUAAGACUAGGAUUAAGAUUUGAUUUAAAGUUUAAUUAGGUUUAGAAUUUGACUAGAAUUUAUUUAGGAUUUGAUUAGAAUUUGUUUAGGAUUUUAUUAGGAUUUGAUUAGGAUUUAUUUAAGAUUUGAUUAGGAUUUAUUUAGGAUUUUUUAGGAUUUGAUUAGAAUUUGAUUAGGAUUUGUCUAAGCUUUGGUUAGGGCUUAUUCAAGAUUUGAUUAUAAUUUAAUAAAGAUUUGAUCAAAAUUUGACUAAGGUUUGAAUAAGAUUUGAUCAAGAUUUGACUAAGUUUUGACUAAGAUUUAAUUAAGGUUUUUAUUUUAAGGUUUUAUUAAGAUUUCUAUUUUAUUAUAUUUUAUUUUUAAAUUUCUAUGUUAUUUCUUUAUGAUUUCUUUAAAAGAUCUCUAAUUUUUUUUUAUAUUUCUUGUAUAAAUUAUUUGAAAUUUUAAUUGAAUUUGAUUGAUGUUUGAUUAUAUUUGCUAAUCUUUAAUUAUAAUUUAUUUAAAAAUCUAUUAGAAUUGUUAGUACUUGUUGUUACAAUUUUCUUUUUAUCUU
rnacentral:lncRNA from 1 species